rnacentral:rRNA from 1 species
UACGUAGGCAGCGAGCGUUGUUCGGAAUUACUGGGCGUAAAGAGUGUGUAGGCGGUGCUCUAAGUUCGGUGUGAAAUCUCCUGGCUUAACUGGGAGGGUGCGCCGGAAACUGGAGUGCUCGAGCGUGGGAGAGGAAAGCGGAAUUCCUGGUGUAGCGGUGAAAUGCGUAGAUAUCAGGAGGAACACCUGUGGUGUAGACGGCUUUCUGGACCAUUGUUGACGCUGAGACACGAAAGCGUGGGUAGCAAACAGG